CCUAGCAGAUAACUCUCGAGUCUCGACCUCUCGUUCAUUCCUCUCGACCUCUCGUUCUGUCGUUCACAAGCCAGUGAGAGACUGAGAGUGUGAGACACCGAUCAACAUUAACCGAGUGAGACACCGAUCAAUUCACCUCCAUCAAGGCACAAGGCCGAGUGAUCUGCGAUUCACCUCUAUCAAUUCAGCUCAUAAGCAUCACCGACACGGAGAGUCUGAGAGUAAAGCUGUGGUGGCGGACGCACCGAGCCACCGAUCGAUUGCAAUUUCCCAAAGUUCCUGGUCAUCAAUUUCAGUUCACCGAUCGAAUUUCUGGGUUCGAUUGCUCUCCAGCAUCUCCUUUGCACUCCAACCUCUCCUCCUUUGCUCUCUUCCAUAUUCUGGCCUUCUGGGUUGGAUUCUUCAACCUUCAGUCGAAGUCUUGCUUGGACGCUUGAAUACAAUUCAAGAAGCUGAUGGCUAGGCAGAAGGCAAGGGAAAGCUUGGGGCAGCUAGUAAUGUGAUAGAUGUUUGAACUUUGUUCAAUUCAUUUAGUUGUGUGCACAUUUUCAAUGAAGUGUCAAAUUGUGGACUGUAAUGGAUUAUUAAAUUAUGUAGAUUUGGUCUUCUUUCA